CAGCAGCCACGGGAAUACGGAGGGAGCUAGCGUUGUUCGGAAUUACUGGGCGUAAAGCGCACGUAGGCGGCUUUGUAAGUUAGAGGUGAAAGCCUGGAGCUCAACUCCAGAACUGCCUUUAAGACUGCAUCGCUUGAAUCCAGGAGAGGUGAGUGGAAUUCCGAGUGUAGAGGUGAAAUUCGUAGAUAUUCGCAAGAACACCAGUGGCGAAGGCGGCUCACUGGCCCGGUACUGACGCUGAGGUGCGAAAGCGUGGGGAGCAAACAGGAUUAGAUACCCCGGUAGUCCCUGUCUCUUAUAC
rnacentral:rRNA from 1 species